rnacentral:rRNA from 1 species
ACGGGAGGCAGCAGUGGGGAAUAUUGCACAAUGGGGGAAACCCUGAUGCAGCGACGCCGCGUGAGCGAUUGAAGUAUUUCGGUAUGUAAAGCUCUAUCAGCAGGGAAGAAAAUGACGGUACCUGACUAAGAAGCUCCGGCUAAAUACGUGCCAGCAGCCGCGGUAAUACGUAUGGAGCAAGCGUUAUCCGGAUUUACUGGGUGUAAAGGGAGCGUAGACGGAACAGCAAGUCUGAUGUGAAAGGCAGGGGCUCAACUCCUGGACUGCAUUGGAAACUGUUGAUCUUGAGUGUCGGAGAGGUAAGCGGAAUUCCUAGUGUAGCGGUGAAAUGCGUAGAUAUUAGGAGGAACACCAGUGGCGAAGGCGGCUUACUGGACGAUCACUGACGUUGAGGCUCGAAAGCGUGGGGAGCAAACAGGAUUAGAUACCCUGGUA